CGCUGGCGGCGUGCCUAACACAUGCAAGUCGAACGGGAUGAAAGAAGCUUGCUUCUGGAAUCUAGUGGCGGACGGGUGAGUAACACGUGAGCAACCUGCCUUCAGAGGGGAAUAAUGUCUGGAAACGGACACUAAUACCGCAUGACAUAUUCUGAUCGCAUGAUAAGGAUAUCAAAGGAGCAAUCCGCUGAAAGAUGGGCUCGCGUCUGAUUAGCCAGUUGGCGGGUAACGGCCCACCAAAGCGACGAUCAGUAGCCGGACUGAGAGGUUGAACGGCCACAUUGGGACUGAGACACGGCCCAGACUCCUACGGGAGGCAGCAGUGGGGGAUAUUGCACAAUGGGCGCAAGCCUGAUGUAGCAAACCGCCGCGUGCGGGAAGACGGUCUUCGGAUUGUAAACCGCUGUCCUCUGUGACGAUAAUGACGGUAGCAGAGGAGGAAGCCACGGCUAACUACGUGCCAGCAGCUGC
rnacentral:rRNA from 1 species